AGUGAACGCUGGCGGUAGGCCUAACACAUGCAAGUCGAACGGCAGCACAGUAAGAGCUUGCUCUUACGGGUGGCGAGUGGCGGACGGGUGAGGAAUACAUCGGAAUCUACUUUUUCGUGGGGGAUAACGUAGGGAAACUUACGCUAAUACCGCAUACGACCUACGGGUGAAAGCAGGGGAUCUUCGGACCUUGCGCGAUUGAAUGAGCCGAUGUCGGAUUAGCUAGUUGGCGGGGUAAAGGCCCACCAAGGCGACGAUCCGUAGCUGGUCUGAGAGGAGGAUCAGCCACACUGGAACUGAGACACGGUCCAGACUCCUACGGGAGGCAGGAGUGGGGAAUAUUGGACAAUGGGCGCAAGCCUGAUCCAGCCAUACCGCGUGGGUGAAGAAGGCCUUCGGGUUGUAAAGCCCUUUUGUUGGGAAAGAAAAGCAGCAGGUUAAUACCCCGCUGUUCUGACGGUACCCAAAGAAUAAGCACCGGCUAACUUCGUG
rnacentral:rRNA from 1 species